GCCAGACUCCUACGGGAGGCAGCAGUGGGGGAUAUUGCACAAUGGGGGGAACCCUGAUGCAGCGACGCCGCGUGGGUGAAGGAGCGUUUCGGCGCGUAAAGCCCUAUCGGCAGGGAAGAAGGAGGACGGUACCUGACUAAGAAGCCCCGGCUAACUACGUGCCAGCAGCCGCGGUAAUACGUAGGGGGCAAGCGUUAUCCGGAUUUACUGGGUGUAAAGGGGGCGCAGACGGCAGCGCAAGCCAGGAGUGAAAGCCCGGGGCCCAACCCCGGGACUGCUCUUGGAACUGCGCGGCUGGAGUGCAGGAGGGGCAGGCGGAAUUCCUAGUGUAGCGGUGAAAUGCGUAGAUAUUAGGAGGAACACCGGCGGCGAAGGCGGCCUGCUGGACCAUAACUGACGUUGAGGCUCGAAAGCGUGGGGAGCAAACAGGAUUAGAUACCCUAGUAU
rnacentral:rRNA from 1 species